rnacentral:ncRNA from 1 species
CACACCGCCCGUCGCUCUACCGAUUGAAUGGUUUAUUCAGGUCCUCCGAUUGGACCCGGUCCGGGCGGCGACGUCCGAGCCGGCGUCCGAGAAGACGAUCUAACUUGAUCAUUUAGAGGAAGUAAAAGUCGUAACAAGGUUUCCGUAGGUGAACCUGCGGAAGGAUCAUUA